rnacentral:rRNA from 1 species
UGGGGAAUAUUGCACAAUGGGCGCAAGCCUGAUGCAGCGACGCCGCGUGCGGGAUGGAGGCCUUCGGGUUGUAAACCGCUUUUGAUCGGGAGCAAGCCCUUCGGGGUGAGUGUACCCUUCGAAUAAGCACCGGCUAACUACGUGCCAGCAGCCGCGGUAAUACGUAGGGUGCAAGCGUUAUCCGGAAUUAUUGGGCGUAAAGGGCUCGUAGGCGGUUCGUCGCGUCCGGUGUGAAAGCCCAUCGCUUAACGGUGGGUCUGCGCCGGGUACGGGCGGGCUGGAGUGCGGUAGGGGAGACUGGAAUUCCCGGUGUAACGGUGGAAUGUGUAGAUAUCGGGAAGAACACCAAUGGCGAAGGCAGGUCUCUGGGCCGUCACUGACGCUGAGGAGCGAAAGCGUGGGGAGCGAACAGG